GAUGAACGCUGGCGGCGUGCUUAACACAUGCAAGUCGAACGGUGAAGCAGAGCUUGCUCUGUGGAUCAGUGGCGAACGGGUGAGUAACACGUGAGCAACCUGCCCCUGACUCUGGGAUAAGCGCUGGAAACGGCGUCUAAUACUGGAUAUGAGCUGCGACCGCAUGGUCAGCAGUUGGAAAGAUUUUUCGGUCUGGGAUGGGCUCACGGCCUAUCAGCUUGUUGGUGAGGUAAUGGCUCACCAAGGCGUCGACGGGUAGCCGGCCUGAGAGGGUGACCGGCCACACUGGGACUGAGACACGGCCCAGACUCCUACGGGAGGCAGCAGUGGGGAAUAUUGCACAAUGGGCGAAAGCCUGAUGCAGCAACGCCGCGUGAGGGAUGACGGCCUUCGGGUUGUAAACCUCUUUUAGCAGGGAAGAAGCGAAAGUGACGGUACCUGCAGAAAAAGCGCCGGCUAACCACGUG
rnacentral:rRNA from 1 species